rnacentral:rRNA from 1 species
UAUUGCACAAUGGACGAAAGUCUGAUGCAGCAACGCCGCGUGGAGGAUGACACAUUUCGGUGCGUAAACUCCUUUUAUAUGGGAAGAUAAUGACGGUACCAUAUGAAUAAGCACCGGCUAACUCCGUGCCAGCAGCCGCGGUAAUACGGAGGGUGCAAGCGUUACUCGGAAUCACUGGGCGUAAAGAGCGUGUAGGCGGGUAGUUAAGUCAGAAGUGAAAUCCAAUAGCUCAACUAUUGAACUGCUUUUGAAACUGAUUACCUAGAAUAUGGGAGAGGUAGAUGGAAUUUCUGGUGUAGGGGUAAAAUACGUAGAGAUCAGAAGGAAUACCGAUUGCGAAGGCGAUCUACUGGAACAUUUCGACGCGAGACGCGAA